rnacentral:rRNA from 1 species
UACGUAGGCAGCAAGCGUUGUUCGGAAUUACUGGGCGUAAAGAGCGCGCAGGCGGUCGUUCAAGUCGAGUGUGAAAGCCCCCGGCUCAACUGGGGAGGGUCACUCGAUACUGAUCGACUCGAAGGCAGGAGAGGGUAGUGGAAUUCCCGGUGUAGUGGUGAAAUGCGUAGAUAUCGGGAGGAACACCAGUGGCGGAGGCGACUACCUGGCCUGUUCUUGACGCUGAGGCGCGAAAGCUAGGGGAGCAAACGGG